AUUGAACGCUGGCGGAAUGCUUUACACAUGCAAGUCGAACGGCAGCACGGACUUCGGUCUGGUGGCGAGUGGCGAACGGGUGAGUAAUGUAUCGGAACGUGCCCAGUCGUGGGGGAUAACGUAGUGAAAAUUACGCUAAUACCGCAUACGAUCUAUGGAUGAAAGCGGGGGAUCGCAAGACCUCGCGCGAUUGGAGAGGCCGAUAUCAGAUUAGGUAGGUGGUGGGGUAAAGGGCCACAAAGCCAACGAUCUGUAGCUGGUCUGAGAGGACGACCAGCCCAACUGGAACUGAGACACGGUCCAGACUCCUACGGGAGGCAGCCGUGGGGAAUUUUGGACAAUGGGCGAAAGCCUGAUCCAGCCAUUCCGCGUGCAGGAUGAAGGCCCUCGGGUUGUAAACUGCUUUUGUACAGAACGAAAAGGUUUCUACUAAUACUAGGAGCUCAUGACGGUACUGUAAGAAUAAGCACCGGCUAACUACGUGCCAGCCGCCGCAGUAA
rnacentral:rRNA from 1 species